rnacentral:rRNA from 1 species
GCUUGUCUCAAAGAUUAAGCCAUGCAUGUCUAAGUAUAAGCAAUCAUACUGUGAAACUGCGAAUGGCUCAUUAAAUCAGUUAUCGUUUAUUUGAUAGUACCUUUACCUGGAUAACCGUGGUAAUUCUAGAGCUAAUACAUGCUAACAACCCCGACUUCGGGAGGGGUGUAUUUAUUAGAUAAAAAACCAAUGCCCUUCGGGGCUCCUUGGUGAUUCAUAAUAACUUAACGAAUCGCAUGGCCUUGCGCCGGCGAUGGUUCAUUCAAAUUUCUGCCCUAUCACCUUUCGAUGGUAAGGUAUUGGCUUACCAUGGGAGCAACGGGUAACGGGGAAUAAGGGUUCUAUUCCGGAGAGGGAGCCUGAGAAACGGCUACCACAUCCAAGGAAGGCAGCAGGC